CCUUUACUAGUUGAGGCUGGGACAAAAAGGUGAAUACAGCUCUCUGUAAAGGAUGUUAUAAAGGUUCAGCCUGUUUUCCUCCCACAAUUUUUCUCUCCUAUCCAUGUGGCCAUUUCAGUUUAUUGCUGAGUUUUUUAAGUCCAUUUGUUGUAGGACAUAGUUUAAGUCCAUUGUUUCUUUGUUGACUUUCUGUCUUGAUGACCUGCCUAGUGCUGUCAGUGGAGUAUUAAAGUCCCCACUAUUAUUGUGUUGCCAUAGUAAUUGUUUUAUAAAUUUGGGUGCUCCAGUGUUAGGUGCAUAUAUGUUUAGAAUUGUGAUACUGUCCUGUUGGAUUAGUCCUUUUAUCAUUAUAUAAUGUCCCUCUGUGUCCUUUUUAACUGCCAUUGCUUUAAAGUUUGUUUUGUCUGAUAUAAGAAUAGCUACUCCUGCUCACUUUUGCAUGGAAUAUAUUUUUCCACCCC
rnacentral:lncRNA from 1 species